CUCAUUGCUGGCUCAUGUUCAGCUGGCUGUCAGCUAACACCCCCAGAUCCUUUUCCUCUGAGAUUAUCACACCUCAACCUGCUGAUAGGUUGAAGUGAUUCUAUCCACUUCAGCAAACAGCUAUUCUUCAUUUUGAGAAAGAAGAAAAAUAAAUGCUAUUUGUCUGCUCACCUUUGUAUUAUUACUAGAGAGGUAAAAAGACAAAAGCAAGGAACAAAACCAACUCUGAAAUAGAGCUGUAGUUAUUGACAGUAGAUGUAGUCCUGGCACAUGGACAUCUCAAGAUUUGGUUUAUAGCUCAAAGUUCAUUCGCACAAAGAAAACUUCUGGUCUUGAACACAAAUGAAAACUAAUGAAUAAAAAAAACUAAAUAAAGUUGAGGGAGGUUGUUCUUAUGGUGAUAUACCAAAUUUGUUACACAAAAAGCUCACAAAAUUUUAGCAUAUAUGUAGUUUUUACUAGGAAUAUUAGUCCCAAUGAACUAUGAAUAGCCUUCCCUUAAAUUUCUGAAUGAUUUCCACUCUCUUGAAAAGGAAGUUUUGUAUUAAACUUCAUGGUUCAGAAUGUCCAAAAGAACUACUGCUUUUUCAUGGCAUCUCUUUAUCCCUGCUGAUCAUGUUGUAUCCAGCAUAAAAUAGCUGACAGCGCAAAAUGAAGCCCGUCCAUAUGCAGACAUGAGUAGCUUAAGUAGGUAUCCCUGAACCCAUUUCCCCAUUAGCAGAAUGAAGUUACCUACUUUGUAUCUAGUCUUUCACUUAAAAUAUUUCUAUGAUACUAUGUUGUGUAAAGUGAUGCAUCCUCUUUUCCAGGUCAAUUAAACUUCAAAUAAUUGUCCUUGUGUCCCCCACACUGAACACCAGUAACACAUAGUCCCUCACAUAGUAACACCAGUUACUAGCUGCAGUUUUACACACAAAUGUGCAUGUAAAUGGAUUCAUCUUAAUGUGUGCGCAAAUGCAUCCAUCUUAAAAUGCAACUGAUAUGUUCCUUUCUGUAAUACUAGGACAACUUUGUUGAAAGUUUACUCAGAGCAGUAUUGGAAGAAUUGAGCAACAGAAAGCUCAGUAUAAUACUUAAUACUGUUAAACAAACUUCAGCAUGGGUGUUCAAAUCUCUUUUUCAGCAGUAAUAUGAAAUGUUGGCAUGAAGUACAGGACAGACAACAGAAGAUAUCUAGAAAUAAACAUGGACCCUGUAUUACAAACUUACAUAUUAACUCCAGGGGACCAGCAGUCUUCUUGCUAACACUGCACAAUGCUGCAGGGGAAAAUUCCAGGUAGCUUUCAAGAUGCAACAGACCUUUUUGUGCUAAAUUUCAUCAUAAAAUAAAAAGCUUUAGUUGUCAUUUUCUUCAGACUGCUUUGAUACAGCGUAAGAACAUUUCAAGAGCAUGAUUUGUCACUACCACAUUUUUUUAUCACUAUGACCCGAGCAGUGUUCCAGUCCAGAUGCAUUUUACAUUCACUUUAUGGUUAUUAACAAUUCACCUAAUUACUUUAUUAUAUCUCACUGAAUGUUCUCUUAUGAUUUGAAAGGUUCAAGUCUCAGGUAGAUCAGGCUCACGUUUGUAAUGUAGCAGUUAUUUUCCAUUUCUACACUGGCUUUCCUUGGAUCAGAAAAUAGUUGCUGGAUUGCUGAGGGAGCUCCUUCCAUUCAUUUUACUUGAGCUCUUGGAAAAGUAUGGUUAAGCUUGUUUAUCCAUCAUUUAACCUCUCACUAGUAGUUUACAAGUCGUUUUCAGCCUUUCUGAAGGUUAGGGACUAACAAAGAUGAUCUGCAUUUUAGCAAGGUCUUGUUCUUUUACAAGAGGAUAUCAUCAGUAAAACCAAUUACAGACUGAAGUGUUUAAUAAAUAGAUCUUCCCUGGGAUUUUAAUAGAGUAAAGCACCAGUUACAAAAGGUCCAGACUGACAAAAUUCCCAUUAUUCUCUAGGAGGCUGGGAUUUUGCUAUAACCACCUGAAAAUAAUCCCUAUUUCUGACAUGCUGACAAGCCUGGGGUGCUUUUCUCCUAACUUGGUUUUCCCCUACUAUCCUUUUCAAGAUCACCUUUAAUUCCCAGUUGCAGAGUUGGGAAAGAGAAAAGUAGAGUCAUCCAAUUUUUAUGUGGUUAUUCAUGGAGAACAGACUGGUCUUUUUAAAGGUAAAUUGCAUUGUAUUGACUUUUUUCUUAUUAAAAUUACUUGAAAAUGUUUUAUGCCUGGGCACAUUUGAUUUCAAAAUUCAAGAUCAGAAACAAAAUCAUUUUUUUCCUUUUGUAAAACUUCCAGAAAACUGAAAAUUGAAUUAUUCACACAACUCCCAGCAGGAAUAAUAUAGCAUUGUGGUAAAGCUGCUUACUUCAGAAAAAAAAAAAAUAGAGUAAAAGACUGAGGAAAUACAAGACCUCACCCUGAGCUAUUGCAGGUUACUUGCUACCAGAAGCAGCAAGUUGUGAGGCAGAGCAUGACCUCCGACUAGACACCAAGAAUAAGCGUGUGGAUUGAAACCUAGCCACCAGAGGGAGAAAGUUAUUAAAAAGCAACACCCUCCUUUUUACUGACACUUGGCAAGCUAGAGCAGAGGGCAGCAGCGGGAGAGCUCCUGGAAUAGCCAAUCUGGAAAUCCAUUCACUUUGCAGUCUCUUAGAGAGAACUUGUUAGCUACUCAAGUUCCACAACUCCCUUCCUCCCCUUCCCCCCCAACCAUAUGGGGAAUCCUGAAGAUUAAGCUUUAUAAGUACUAGAACAUCUCGUAGGGUUUUGUUUCCACUUUUGCAAUACUCUUGCAUUAGUACAGUUUUAAGGCUUUGCAGUCUUUUCUCCAUCUUAAUCCACUUGACCAAGCAUUGUCUGCAUUAGAGGUAUAUAUUCAUCUUUACAUAUAUUUUGAAAAGCAUUUUACUGAACUAAUACAAUCAGCAUUGAAGUCAUACAGGACAGGAACAGUAUGAUCAGAAAAAUGAGAGGAGAUGAUGGAAGGACUGAAAGAAAAUUUGGAAAGAAGGAAAGACAACAAGUAGUGGUUGCCGGAUACUAAAAAAGCCAAUUCAUUUCAACACUUUAUUUGAUCUGAAGUUACUAAGUGUUUAAAUUUUAAGUUCACAGAAGGGAAUACUACUUAACCAGAGCAUUCUUAGCAUAUAUAUAGACAGGGCAACUACUGUUGUAUAUCAUAUCUUUGUUGCAUUUGAUAGCGACUAAAAUAAGGUACUUCAGAGAAGGUACAAUGGCAUGAUAUUAUCUAGUCUCAGUGAAAAUUCUGACUAAAUAUGACUAAAAUGAAUGAAAUAGAAGAACACUGUUUACCCUGAACUUCAUGAGAGUGAACUUAUGGCUGUUAAAGGAGUUAUUGGAUGAGAUCUCCUGGGAAGCUGUUCUUAGGGACACAGGAAUAGAACAGAGCUGGUAACUCUUCCAGGACACCCUUCUGAGAGCACAAGAGCUCUCCACCCCCCAGCAGAAAAAAUCAAGCAGAGGAUGCAGGAAACCAGCAUGGUCGAGCAAGUCAGACUGAGGGAAAAAAGGAAAAGUAUGAGCAGUGGAAGUGUGGUUGCGUGGCCUGGGAAGAAAACGGGGAUGCCACCUCGGCAUGCAGGGAUGGGAUCAGGAAAGCCAAGGCACAGAUGGAACAAAACUUGAUGAGUGAUGAGAAAAAUAACAAGAAGGGAUUCUAUCAAUAUAUUGAGCAGAAGAGACAGGCAAAGGAGAGUGUACCUCCUCUGAUAAAAGAGAAGGGAGAACUGGCUUCAACAGACAUGGAGAAGGCUGGGGUAAUCAGUGAGUUCUUUACCUCAGUCUUCACUGGCAGCCAGGCUUCCCACGCCUUUUGUGUCCCCGAACCUCUAGGUAGAGGUCAGGAAAGCAAAAUCCCUCCCACUGUAAGAGGAGAGCAAGUUCAAGACCGCCUCAUGAGGCUGAAUGUGUAAAGGUCUAUGAGGCUGGACAACAUGCAGCCCAGGGUCCUGAAGGAACUGGCUGAUGUGGUUGCCAAGCCAGUUUCCAUCAUAUUUGAAAAGUCAUGGCUGUCAGGAUAAGUCCCCAGUAAUAGGAAAAAGGGAAGCAUCACUCCCACUUUUAAGAAAGGGAGAAAGGAAGAUUCCAGGAACUACCAGCUGGUGAGCCUCUCCUCUGUGCCUGGGAAGAUCAUGGAGUUGAUCCUCCAGAGGAAAUAUAUCCAGCUCUUAAAUAAUUGCCUGCAACAGCUAAAAAUACUUAUCUACAUUCUGUAUUAAAGAUGGUCUAACAAAGAAACUGAGAGACUGACUGAAAUGUUAGCAGGUAGCUAUUUGUUUCUGCCUGCUCAAGCUAUUCAGUAUAAAUUAUAUAGAGGAGUUCAGCUCUGUUCUAUGCUCUUCCCUAACUCCCUGUUAAAAAAAAACAAAAAGUGUUGAAAUUGGCUGGUUUAGGUUAUACUAUUUCCUCCUGUGGAAAUGUAUCUCUUUGCUCUCAGUAAGGAUCCAGUCUUACACUUGUUAUUUCUUUGAAACCUCUCAUUAAAUAUUCUGCAAAAAUAACUUCCAUUUAAUACCAUGCCCAAGGAGGAUGUGCAAACUUCACAAUUCUACCUGCGUCUGAUCUUCUAAAUUACUGACUAAUCAAUAGAAACCUGCCAAAGAGGAGACCAGAGCAUAACAAAGAGAAUACUCUUGGAAUUAUGUCAGUGCAAAUGAGGCUUCACUGCAAAAAUUAAGUGUCAGAUCUUGCAAAUGUUUACACAUCUAUUUGGCAGUUUUUGGGGUCCUGAUGAAUAGCAGUACCCCCAGAAAACCAGAAUGACAGCUAUCAAAUCCAGUGCUCAAAUAAUCCUUUUUGCUGCUUGAGCAGCCUUCAUUUUGGAUGUUACCUUAAGUCUAUGUCAAGAAAUUUCGGAUGAGAUGAGGUCUUACAUAGUUUAUACUUUUUCAGUUUACUUGAUACUGAUCUACUGUCCGAAUGAAAUUGUUCCACCCUGGUCCUACAUGUACUGUGAGAUUCAGAUACAUUGGUUUCACACUCUUACCUUCUCUUUCUUCAAGAAUUCUGAAGUCAAUUAAAAUUGGAGAUGCUGUUUAUCUAUAUCUUUGUGCUGGUCAUUAUAUUUUACUAAUAUAUAAUUUUUUAUAUCAAAUUAAAGACUAGAUUCACUUGUGUUCCUUGUGCCAUUUCUAGGAUGAGAAGCAGCAGUAUGCCCUUCUUAAACAUUUAUCUCUGUCCCUGAAGGAUUGACAGCAUGUAGACUGUCCUAAGUAAGCUGCUAUCUCAUCUUUGCAAGGUGAUUUAAAACAAAAAUUCCCUAAUAUGAGCGAGUAUGCAAACUCAGCCCUAACUGGGUGAAUUAUUACUGUACAAUACAAACCUGCUGUGUUUUUGAACAAAUAGUAGCAAAAAAGAAGCACAGCUAUAGGAUUAGACGAUGACAUUUUAGUGCAAUGCCUUGAACUCCUUGUUUGUAAUUUGAUAAGGAAAUUUACGCAAAACUUUAUCUGUUUGGAUGCUGGAAGGUUCAACCUUUUCAGGACAAAAAGGUCCAGAGUAAAACAUAAUAAACAAAUAAUAUCAAAUUCAUUUUUGGCAAGGACAUUCCAAGUUUUGUAAUCUUCAGACCAAAUGGAAAUCUACAAAUGCCAGCUCUAUGGUUAAUAUUUUACAGAAGCAGGCUGUAAAGGGUAUAUAAGAAAAUCAUUUCUCUUCAAUCGUCCUAGCAUUUUUGAGUAAUUUAGCCCACAUCAUAAUCUGCAGCCAUGAAGUGGGUAACAUUAAUUUCAUUUAUUUUCCUCUUUAGUUCAGCAACAUCGAGGAAUCUGCAAAGAGUUGCUCGUGAUGCAGAGCACAAGAGUGAAAUUGCCCAUCGCUACAAUGAUUUGAAGGAAGAGACAUUUAAGGCAGUUGCCAUGAUCACAUUUGCCCAGUAUCUCCAGAGGUGUUCUUAUGAUGGACUGUCUAAGCUUGUGAAGGAUGUUGUUGAUCUGGCACAAAAGUGUGCAGCCAAUGAAGAUGCUCCUGAAUGCACAAAAUCACUGCCUUCCAUUUUCCUGGAUGAAAUCUGCCAAGUGGAAAAGCUCCGUGACUCAUAUGGCACAAUGGCCGACUGCUGUAGUAAAGCUGAUCCUGAAAGAAAUGAGUGUUUCCUGUCGUUUAAAGUUUCCCAACCAGACUUCAUUCAGCCAUACCAAAGACCGGCUUCUGAUGCGAUAUGCAAGGAAUACCAGGACAACAGAGUGUCAUUUCUGGGACAUUUCAUCUAUUCUGUUGCAAGAAGAAACCCCUUCUUGUAUGCCCCUACAAUCCUUAGUUUGGCUGCUGAUUACGAACAUGCACUUCAAAGUUGUUGCCAAGAGAGUGAUGUUGGUACUUGCCUGGACCACAAGGAAGCUGAGAUGAGAGAAAAAGCCAAGAAAGUAAGUGUGAAGCAGCAGUAUUCUUGUGGAAUCCUCAAGAAGUUCGGAGAAAGAAUUUUCCAAGCAGAUAAACUUGCUCGCAUGAGCCAAAAAUACCCCAAUGCUGCACUCACAGAGGUUUCUAAAAUUGUACGUGAUUCUAUGAAGAUCCACAAAGAGUGCUGUGAAGGGGACAUGUUGGAGUGCAUGGAUGACAUGGCAGAGACCAUAAACUAUAUGUGCUCUAAACAUGAUACCUUCUCAAGUAAAAUCAAAGGCUGUUGUGAGAAGCCUGUUGUGGAACGAAGCCAGUGCAUUAUGGAGGCAGAAUUUGAUGAGAAACCUGAACAUCUUCCUUCAUUAGUUGAAAAAUACGUACAAGAUAAGGAAGUGUGUAAAAGUUUUGAAGCAGGCCAUGAUGAAUUCAUGUCAGAAUUUGUUUAUGAAUACUCACGAAGACACCCGGAGUUCUCCACGCAGCUGAUUCUGAGAAUUGCCAAAGGAUAUGAAUCACUCCUGGAAAAGUGCUGCAAAACUGAUAACCCUGCUGAGUGCUAUGCAAAUGCUCAAGAUCAACUGAACCAACAUAUCAAAGAAACUCAGGAUGUUGUGAAGACAAACUGUGAUCUUCUCAAUGCCCAAGGCGAGCCAGAAUUCCUGAAGUCCAUCCUCGUCCGCUACACUAAGAAAAUGCCUCAGGUAUCAACUGAUACCUUGCUUGAAAUUGGAAAGAAAAUGACAGCUGUUGGUACUAAGUGCUGCCAGCUUCCCGAAGACAGACGCCUGCCUUGUUCUGAGGGUCAUCUGAGCAUUGUGAUUCAGGAUAUGUGCAGGAGACAGGAGACCACACCUAUAAAUGAACACGUUUCACACUGCUGCAGCGACUCCUAUGCUCAGAGGAGACCAUGUUUCACUGCCAUGGGAGUAGAUACCAAAUACGUUCCUCCACCAUUUAAUCCCGAUAUGUUCAGCUUUGAUGAACAAUUGUGCAGCGCUCCUCCCGCAGAACGAGAAGUAGGCCAGAUGAAAUUGCUUAUCAACCUCAUUAAACGCAAGCCUCAGAUGACAGAAGAACAAAUAAAGACAAUUGCUGAUGGUUUCACUGCCAUGGUUGAAAAGUGCUGCAAACAGUCAGACAUCAAUACGUGCUUUGGAGAAGAGGGUGCCAACCUAAUAGUCCAGAGCAGAGCCACAUUAGGAAUUGGUGUUUAAGACAUGAGUCUGAGUAUAGAAGGCAGAGGAAUCAAGCACAGCUGCAGCUCUAAGACCAUGCUGGUGAAAAAUAUUCUUUAACGGCCUAAGUGUCUCAUAAAGAGGUUGAGAAACCUCCUCGGUCACCCAGAACGCAUUUAAGUUUCUGCUACCAAACCUGAACUAUGACUUCAAGUUUCAGAAGGGCCAACUGUUAUCAUAACUCUCAACACAACACCUGUGACUCAUUUACAUGCUUUUGUUAGGUUAACUCAACAGUCUUGUUAGUCUGAUAUUCCUCCUACUGAAACUUGUAGUCCCUAGAACUCCUUAAAAACUACACGAGUAUUCCUGAAUACUCAAAGGAAAAGAAAACAAAACAAAACAAAAACAACCAAAUAAACACACCAACUUGUAGGCUAUAACAGAUUUUUGGUAGGCCUAUCUCCUUGCCUAUGGACAACUGAGUUUGCAGUAUUAUGCCAAAUCAGCCAGAGCACUGUUGUGAGCAUCCACAUCUUGUAAUCCAACAAAUGUAACAGUUCUCAUGCAGUUUUGCUGGUGCUUGAUGUACCCUGGAGAGGCUGAUGUCUGUUGUGUCCCUCUAGAUUAAAAAAAAAAUAAAAUAAUAAUAGUAAUAAAAGAAAAGCCUUUCCAAAGGAAAUGGUGUACCAGGAAAGAACAUGAUACUGUGGCAAUACACAAGGAUCUAAAAGAACAUGACCUUUGCAGAAGCAAGUAAUACAGAGAAUUACACACCUUGUAGUCUGCUCCUGUUCCUCUGCCCUAUUUGCUUAAUCUUCCUAUUUUAGCACAGUAUAGUAAAACGACACAUAGUUGUAGUUUGUGAUAUACUAUAACCCCUCAGUAAAACACAGGCUAAUUUUUACUUUCACCACUUUCACUUUUUUAUAGCCCAUCUCACUUUUUCAUACACCCUCUAUAAAAGUUAGUAAAGCCAUGACUAUUCCUUCAAAUAAGGUUUUCUUUGGAGAAAACCUGAUGGCAGAUACACACAUCCUUUACAUGGAACACAGGUUAGAGAUCAUCAUCCAUUAGCAAUAAUUAAAAAUAUUAACAAUAAUUUCCUUCUGCCUUCUCCUUCAGUCUUUAAUUCUUUCAGCUGACCACAUGUCACCUCCAUCAGGCUCCCACCUGCCUAAAGCUCCUCAUUUUAUUCAUCUCUGAAUUAUUCAACCAUUUCCUCCUGUCCAUACCUAUACCAUGCUCUGAAUCAUAAAUUAACAGUUGUCUUUUAUAACACUGUGUACUGAUAGUCACCUUUUAAAGGCACCCCUAUAAGAUGUUGUCAUCUCUUGGCCAAGACAUUUCCCUCUUAGGGCUUGAUUUCUCACAGUCCAUCACAGUUGAUGAAACGCCUCAUCCUGUUAGCCCCAGUUACUCUGCAUUCAGUCUCAAUGUUUGAGAACUAACAUUAGUACCAUGAUUCUGGAGUGUCUCUUGGAAGACCAUGGGCUCCAGCCUUAGUAUUUGGAAAAUCCUUUUAAUGCAUACUUCAGCUUUCACUUGAGCAUUCUAGAUCAUCCUGAUUUGGGGGAAAACUUUCAUCAAGGUCAUGACAAGGAAAGCAGAAAAAUGAUCAGGAAGGAAGAAUGUUCUUUUAACCCUCCAUAGCAGCUUAUGAUGCUGAUCUUGCAGCACACAGCUCUAUUAAAAAUGCAGUAGAGUGUAACCCAGGCUUUGCAAUGGGCAGUAGCUCUGGACCAGUACACAUUUCUAAGUUUUCAAAAAAUUUCUCUUGGUCACCCAACUGUUUUUCUGCUCUCAUAUAUAUAUAUAUAUAUAUAUAUCAGAAAACCUUUAUCACUGCAUUACACCAAAAAUGUGCAAAGAGUAGGUGCUUUUUAAGAUACACAAGAAAUUCCACUAACAUCUUCAGGUCCACUAACAUCUUUGAUACAAAUAUUUAUGAUCUCUUUGCCCUAGAGUUGUUCUCUAUUACCUCUAAGGGUUGCACUUGACUUUGCUGCUAAGCGGUGGAUGUAUUUUUUGGGUGAACUAUGAAUAAGUAUAUUAGUAAUCAGUGCUAAGUGAAUUUGUUUAUUUUCUUUGAUAGUCUCUAACUCACGCUUUGACUUUAUCCAAAGACCUGAAAAUGGCUUUUCUGCAACCAAGACUAGUAAAUUGGAUUGCAACCAGCAUAAAACUACACGUCAGUAGGACUAGUAUUGAAAUACACACAGUACUAAGAUCAUACGAAGUUACAUUUUAAAGCAAGACCUGUAGGCCAGAUCUUAAUGUACCCAGGUGCCAGGUCAAAGGAAAAAUCUGAAUUUACAAGCUGCUUUCAAAGUAGUCUGGUCAAAGAUCACAAACCCAAUAAGUAAUUUUGUCAUCUUUCCUUUCAGCAAAGGUGACUGCAGUUUGGGAGUUUCACUCAAGCCUAACGGAAAUCUACAUUUGUGUGGUUAACUGAAUUAUUGGAACAUGCUGCUCAGGGAAGUGCUGCAGUCACCAUCCCUAGAGGUGCUCAGAACACACGGAGAUGAGGCACUGGGGGACAUAGAGGAAACAGUACUACUUUAAAGAUUCUGAUCUCUCUUCAAAAAUGAAACAGAAUGAAACAGAUUACAGCGAAAUGUAAGAAUGUUUAUUUUGAGUGUAAUAUACACUGUUUCUAACCCAAAAUACUUUCUGAAGUAAAAAACUAACAGAUUAGAGAAAUCAACAAAAUCACCAAGUAUCAUUCCACUAGUCAUUUUUCUCUGAAACUCCUCAGCUAAGAAUUUCUAAUAAUGGCAUUUUAUGUGUCAUAUGUUUUUCUACGACUGGUAGAUAAAGGAGUUCAAAUUUACAUAUAGACAUACAUCCCUGCAUGCAAAGCUCUGCCUUUUAGAACACACUGAUUUCAAGAGGGACAAAUUGAAAGCUUCCAACUAAUCCUCUCUCUUACUGAAGUCUUAUGUUGGUGAUUUCUAUUAAAUGGAACCAGAAUCUAAACUAGCUGCUUCAUUUUCAAGACCUACAAAAUGAAAUGCCUAAGUUUUCUGAAUAGACUGUGGAUGUGUCAGUUUAUUUGACACCAGUGGCUGAAACAGGUGUGUGGGUGAUGUGCAUACGGAAAAGUCAAUGCCCAUAGAUAGUACUUGCUGACCUUAACCAGUUAUUUCCUACAGAUGAAUUAGAAAAAUUUUGAGGGUGGGCUUGAAUAUUCCCAGACAAAUAAGCACACAGCGGGUCACCAACGAGCUCAGUAGACCCAGGAAAGACUUUAAGGAUAUGGAGCUACAACGGCAUUUUUAUGAACUGCAACCCAGCACGUGUAGUAUAUCCCCAAAAGAACAGUGAGGAGAUAUGAGAGUGUUCUAAGCCACUGGUAGGAACUGAAUAUGAAAUUAAGUUUAUAUUUUCAGCCAACCCAAACUGAUACGUAACAGCCACUGAGUCACUGAAAAACUGUCCCUCCCUCACGUUAAACAAGCUGUGGAUUUGUAUAUACACACACACUUGACAAGAAACUGAAUUCAGAUAAUUGUGCAUAAGCACAAUAUGGCCCCAUCAUUCCAACGUUCUUCCUUCUCAUUACAUCUGUUCUUGUAUCCCACCAUUUUCUUGCAUAAGAGGUAUCAGUAAAAAAAUGUCAUGAGUCGUACCAUACGGUGCAGUGGCAGACUGCAGCGGUAAGGCUGACCCUGAAACAAAUCAGUUUUUCCUGAUUUUCAAAAUCCCUGGAAAAUUUUAAUUUGACAGUACCAGAGUCCAGAGCUCAGAGUACCGGUAAAGGAAGACCAGGACAUCAAAAUUUUAUGCCCAGAAUAGUAAGAACAUUGUUUGUGCUGUAUUGAAUAAGUACUAUUUAGUCAGUCAGAAUAGAGACAUUUCAGACCUUGGAGUCUUUCACCUACCUUUGUCAAACAAGAUUAAUUUUUCAUUUAGAAAAAUUUCGAAGUACAUUCUUCAGAAACAGCUUGUAUAAUUUCACCUUUCAAUAUUUUAAGGAAAAACCUACAAAAAUGCAGGUGUUUUUACUUCUCUACCCUCCUUUCUUUUCUGUUUAUUUCCUCAGGAAAAUUAACUCUCCAGAAUCCUUGAAUUUAAUAGGGCACAAAGAGGAGAAAAACGAGUGAGGAUUUUUCCAUUGUAAACUUGAAAUCUUUGGUAAUCUUCAUUUGUAUGUACAUGUUUGUUUAUAUGUUUAGAAACAUCUUAUUAAAUAUGAAAUGCUGAUUACUAUUCGGGGCUGAAAACAUAAGGAAUCAAACAAUAACUUCCACCAUUAAUUUGGGCCAUUAGCAGAUGCAAAAAUACGAAGUCUCUAGAAGUCUAAGGCAUUCUAUACUGAUCUGUUUGCCUUGUUCUUCAGACCUGCAGCACCUACAGCUAUGAUUUAGUUGUGUAGAAGGUGGCAUCUAAUACUAUUUGAGAUACCUUAAACAUUCUGCUUGACGUUUAUCUACUAAACCUGAAAUGAAUGGGUAUUCACUGGCAAAGCGCUAUGCUAGCUAACUGCCAUGCCAUAUUAAGAAAAAAAAAACAAAAAACAAAACAAAAAAAAAAACAGCGGCAAGA